AAACUUAGGACACCUAAGAUACAUCCGUGGAUUACGAACAGUUAAAUAUCUGAUAUUUUAUAUUUGAAACAUCUUAAAUUUGUUUUCCGAUUUGAAACCUCUAUCAACAUGUUUUUUUUUUAUCUGUUUAUAGAAAUGAAGGUGGAAUUGAAUCAGUGGAACAAAAUUUUUAAUAAAAUUAAAAUGUCGUCCAAUACACUACGGUUAGGAUAUUGAUAACGAGAUCUCGUCAUCAUACAAAUAUACAAGAAUGUUUUAUCUCAAAAUUGUUCGAAUUACACUUCAAAUUGCUUCCUCAUCCACCGUAUAGUCAAGAUCUGGCCCCCAGUGAUUAAUGAAUAUUCGCUGAUGUUAAAAAAUGCUCGCCGGUAAGAAAUUCAGCUAAAAUGAAGAAGCAAUUGAUGUUUAUUUUGAAGCAAAAGACAAAUCUUUUUACAAGCCCGGCAUGGAAAAGUUUGUGCUUUGUAAUGUACAGAAAAUGGAUCCGAUAAAGUUUUAAAAGUAUCAAGAGGAAUCUUCAGCACAGAAGUUAACAAAGGUAAAUUAAUUUAUAUGAUUUUUAAAUAUUUAAUCAAAUAUUAUGUAAAUAAGCAGUUUCCAAAUUUAUUUGGUCCCCCUGUAAAUAUUUUUUUUGGAAUUCCAAGUCUCAAAACAUUUAAAUCAAUUUCUAGUAUACCAGUUGAAAAUAUUUGAAUUGAAACAAGCUUUUUGGAGAAUUUCUGUAUAGAAAUGUUUAGAAAAAUAUUACCAGCCCUUAUGGUGGCUCUUGUACUCAACUGUACGGCAGGAAAUGCGAUUUUAGUUGUUUUUUAUAAUCAAAAUGCAUAUUUAGCAAAAUAUUGACAUUUUUGUAUGAAUCCGAUUUAGUAUUAAGCGAAACGUUUAUAUGAUGACAGAACAACAUAUCCAGACUUUAUACCUGGUGGAUUAUUAACUGCUCAACAGGUCUGAGUAUUUUAAAAACUACAAUUUUCGUUUGUUAAACAUUUUUUAAGUAUUUUCAAUUUUCAUCUCUUGAUUUCAGAUAUUGGAGAGAAACGUUGUCGUUUUAUCAACUAAAAAAUUUUAUUCAGGUAAAUAUGAAAAAUUCAGAAAAAAAAUAAACAAGUAAUAAAGUCGGAACAACAAUAAUUUCAUUUACUUAAUAAUUUUUUCUGUUACUAAUUUGUUUAUGGAAUGAAACAUAACCUCUAAUGACAUGACUUCAAUUUAAGCCAAUUGACGUCUAUUCUCAUUUGAUCGAUAUCUUAUGAUGUCUAUUGACGUCGGUUCAUGUCAAUUGAGGUAAUUUGGGAUCACAUUUUGGUUAAUUUUAUCGUAGUUUUCCGAACGAUUCAGGUAAAUAAUCGUUGUGGUUAGUACACGUUGUUGAUCACUGACACCUGUCAUAAAAUGUCCACUACCGCGUUCCCUGUGUUGGGUAGGCAACAAACAAUUCAGCCACAUACCACAUCAAAAUAUGCUGCAAUUUCAUAAUUUUUUCCUAAUAUCGGCUGAUACAGACGGACGGACUUUUUUUGUACAAAAAGCGAUGAAAAAUUAUUGUAAUGAUGAUUUUAACUUAGGACACCUAAGAUAUCUAACUGUGGUUACAAAAUAGUUUCUGACCUCAACAUUAAUCUAAAAAAAUUCUAUUGUUGUGUAAUUUAUACUAAAUGCAUAUUUUUCUUUUUGCAGGUUCGAGAAAAUCCUUUAUGGUACGUAUUUCAAAUUUAUAUUAAUACAUAUGUGUCAACAGUUUAAUUAUCAAAUUAAGUGAAAAUAUCAAUAACAGUACCUUACUAAGUUGGAAUUUCUGGAACUGUUUGUGGUAUUCACAUUGUUUACACCAACACUCACAAUUACACUGUCCGACGCGCGUUUUUAUAACCAAGUUAUCGUCUUAGGAGACUGAAGGUCCACACUUUGAUCAAAAUGAAACGAGCUCAUUUAUGACAGAAUUUAGAAAUUCUCUGCCGUUAGUAAGAUGCAAGGAGAAUCAUCAUUAUUUUACUAAUAUCUUUGAAAAAAAUCGCAUCUGAAUGAUGACAACUUUUUGCUAGACUCAAACAUGGUAGUUCAAAUUUAAUGCUCAACAGGUCUGAAAUAUACAAACAUUAUAUACAUAUAUUACCAGAUUUUGAUGUAUUUGCUAAAUUUUGACUCCUAUUUCCAGAUUUAUUCAGAAAUCAUCCAAAUUCCUCUAGAAUUGUUCAAAAUGUAAGUAUAAUAGAUUAAUUUCAAUAAAAUUUUUAAAAUUAAAA